rnacentral:misc_RNA from 1 species
UCACCUAGCUUCUCUUUCCUCUCCUUUGUGGAUAUAGAAAUAUCAGCCUUAUGCCGUUUGGUUGCAAGAGAAGUAAGACUGCCUUGGUCAACAGAGCAUGGGCUUCUUUUGUUCUCCAUCAUCAUUUUCACAAAGUGUCACUUGUUUUCCCAAGAACCCUGAGACUGCAUUGCCAAAGGAGGUAAAAACAAUAUCUCAAACCUUAUAGUGGAAAACCUUAGAAACUCACCUCAGAAAUCACUCAAAAUUCAAGGGAA